CAAGUCGAGCGUGGGCAGAUUGCCUCGCAAGAGGUGAUCUGCUCUAGCGGCGAACGGGUGCGUAACACGUGGGGAACCAACCCUCCAGAUGGGGACAACCUCGGGAAACCGGGGCUAAUACCGAAUACGCUUGCCGGGUCGCAUGGCCUGGUAAGGAAAGGAUCGCAAGAUCGCUGGAGGACGGUCCCGCGGCCUAUCAGCUAGUUGGUGAGGUAACGGCCCACCAAGGCGAUGACGGGUAGCUGGCCUGAGAGGGUGGUCAGCCACACUGGAACUGAGAUACGGUCCAGACUCCUACGGGAGGCAGCAGUUGGGAAUUUUGGGCAAUGGGCGCAAGCCUGACCCAGCGACGCCGCGUGGGGGAUGAAGGCCUUCGGGUUGUAAACCCCUGUCAGGAGGGACGAAGCCGCAAGGUGACGGUACCUCCAGAGGAAGCCCCGGCUAACUACGUGCCAGCAGCCGCGGUAAGACGUAGGGGGCGAGCGUUGUCCGGAAUUACUGGGCGUAAAGCGCGUGCAGGCGGCCUGGUAAGUCCCGUGUGAAAGCCUACGGCUCAACUGUAGGAGGUCGCGGGAUACUGCUGGGCUGGAGGGCAGGAGAGGGAAGUAGAAUUCCCGGUGUAGCGGUGAA
rnacentral:rRNA from 1 species